ensembl:lncRNA
AUGUGUUGUUCAUUUAUUUUGAAAUACAUAACUAUAUCUCUAUCCCUUUAUCUAAUUUCAAUGAUUCUUCCACUUAGUCCAGCCAAUCUUAUUUGUAGUCAUGCGACCGUCCAAUUACUUUGCGCUGGAGGCGGGUAUGGAGCAGGCGGUCCCCUGGGGUUGCGACCUCUUCACUUUUGUGACAUCUGCCGCCGGUCACAUGAUGAGGACCCUACAGAAACCCCGCAAAAACCGUCCCUCCAAGCGACAGGUCAACCACCGGCGCUUCCUGCACAACAUGAUACAGAGGUUAGUAUCAGGAGGGUGAAUCUGUAUGUGUGUGAUUAUUAUUGUCUCCUCUCUAUUGUUGACUUAAAAAAACAACACAACAACAUGGCAUUUCCAACAACUGAUCUCACUAUCUCUCCCAACAGGAAGUUCUCCAACAUCGAGGCUGCAAACCAGCGACUAGCGUCUGCUCUACUUUGUACCAAGGAAGAAAACACAUCUCCCUCCUUCCCGGGCCAGAAGCCUGUGACACCAGAACCAUCCGUUAAACCCACCACUGGUGAUGGUCUUGCUGAAAAAGCCAAUGACCCCAUGACAAACACAUCAAAAGACAUUGAGCAGGCUUCAAAGUUGGGUUCUGACUCGGCCUAUGGCUCCAUUGAAAUGGAGAUCAGUAAACAGAGGCAGCCAGAGUCUAGACAUUUUUUGGUAAGCCUUCCCAAAUCACAGGCCAGCACCGGCACAUGGAGAGGGAAGAGCCAGGGGCACAGAGCCCCAAAUCCGGCACUCCAAAAUAUGAUCGGAAACGAGAACCAAGCUAAAUCAACUUCCUUCUUGAACUCUCCUGAACACACAGAGUUCAACCAUCAACCUGGAGUCUCGCAGACCGCCUGUGACAGAUAUGAAAAGACAACCCAAAGAAACAGAAUUCAUCGCUCAGAAGUCAAUGUCGGUACUGCGAGGCUCAAAGAAACUGACAACAACAACAACAACCAAGACCGACAUUUCAAAUCUGCCUCAGACUCAGAUGUCAUCAUUCAUCUGGACGAGGACCUUGACCUGUCCCUCUCGCCGUCCUUCUCUCCGGAUCUUUCCCCGCUCUCCCUCGACUCUUGUGACUUCUCCGUACAGUCCAUGCUGGACAUGUCCACCUGCUUCCAGAAGAACCACAAGGAGGACACCGUGGAGAACCAGUGGACAGACAUGAUGGAGGUCUUGCAGACAGAGGUCAUAUGUAGGGACGACCUAGAAGACUGCAUGAACAUGGAGGAGUUUUUUGAAAAUGUGUGCAUCUGUCAAGAGGGUUCCUCGGAACUGGAAGGCGAUGUGUGCUGUGAUGACAUCACCACGUCAUCUAUGAAUCAUGAGCGAGGAACUUGCAUGGGGCAUGAGAUCUUCCAGAUCCAGAGCAAUGAUAAUUGUGGAUCCGAGGCAGAGCAUUUGAAAUGUAUUGAAGGUAAAUACGGGUAUGGAGGUUCUGAUGCUUUUCAGAGUGAUCUUGGAUUGCCUUUCAAAAAUUUGACCAGUGAUCAGAGAACCUCUCAAAAUCUUCAAGCCAGCAGAAGUGAGAUAGUCUUUAAUGAAACAGCCUCAGACCAAGACAAAGACAACCAAUCAAAUUCAAUCUUUAGCAUUUACCUUUGCAACAACUCAACACUCAACACAUACUCCUGUGCACAACAGGAGAGUUCCUGUGCAUUUGAAGCGUGUAAUAACAAAACAGGCACACACUUUGAAGGUGUGGCUCAGUCCUUCUCUGCUCUUACUGAAACCCAGUACCAUCCCAUACUCACCCCUCCAUUUGAGAACGACUGGCUGUUCACAGAGAUUGUGUAG